rnacentral:rRNA from 1 species
GAUUCAAGCUACUUUAAGAGCAAAUGGUGGAUGCCUUGGUAUCUGGAGCCGAAGAAGGACGUAGCAAUCUGCGAUAAGCCUCGGGAAGCUGAUAAGCGAGCUUUGAUCCGAGGAUUUCCGAAUGGGGAAACCUG